rnacentral:rRNA from 1 species
AUGACACCGCAUCUGCCCGUGUCGCCCCACCCCGCCCACCACCUGCUCGACGCGCUGCCCCCGUCGCCGCACCACCGCCGCCUCCGCAGGCGCCGCCGCCUCAGGGCGCGCUUCGACGCCGUCUUCUACGUGCCCGGCAACCACGACCUCUGGCUGCGCCGCGAGGGUGGCCGCUACGUGGAUUCGAUGGAGAAACUGACUGCAUUGCUUGAGGCGUGUAGUGAGCUGGGUGUGGAUACAGGCCCUAGAACGAUAGGUGACUUAGGGAUCAUACCAUUGUUUUCAUGGUAUCACAAGAGCUUUGACAAGGAAAAGGAUGUUAACAGUGUGCGUGUUCCUUCGUUGGAGAUGGCUUGUAAAGACUUUCAUGCUUGCCAAUGGCCUUCGGACUUGGGAAGUGAUGAUGAGGCUCUUGCUCUUUACUUUGACAAGUUGAAUGACAAGAACAAUGAUGCUAUUGAAGAAGUGAAAAAGAAGAGCAAACAGAUACUUACAUUUUCACACUUUGUACCAAGGCAAGAGUUAUGUCCAGAGAAGCGAAUGCUUUACUAUCCAAACCUUCCGAAGGUCAUCGGCUCUGAUUAUUUGGAAAGAAGGCUGAGAGCUAUACACAACAACGCUAAAGAUGGAGCAGCCUGCCAUGUAUUCGGGCAUACACAUUUCUGUUGGGAUUCUGUGGUUGAUGGUAUCAGGUAUGUACAGGCGCCUCUAGCAUACCCUCGGGAAAGAAAGCGAAGGAUAAACGGAGGCCAAGGAUGGUUGCCUUUUUGUGUAUAUCGUGAUGGCUUCAACCCUGAAAUAUACCCGGCUAUAUGGUCCGACUAUUACAACAAGAACAGAAGGGAGCCCGAGAACACCCAGCUUGCACCGUGGGUUGCCAAAUAUUUUUCGAAGUACUACGGACCCCCUGUUUUUGCCAAACAAACUGAAUCCGGUUGA